UCUGAGAUGCCUACAAAAAGACUGAAUCAACUUAGGCUAUUAGAAAUAUUUUGGCAUCAAAAUGGUUAAUAGUAUUAUAGCUUCAAAAGAGCCUAUUGGCUCACCCUCAAGGAUGCCCUGCAGUAGUUGUUAAAGUCAUCAGAUGAAGCUAGCCUUCUCAGCUAGCCUUUAGAUUUGUCUGCUCACAGUAAAAAUACUAUAAUAAAUCGGUAACAUAUGUUGCCAAGCAAGGAAAAGUGAUAUAAAUAAAGAGACAAGGAGACCCAAACCAAAUUCAAAAUUGCAUUCUUACCCAAAUACUCUCCGUGAUUGCCUGCUUUGCGGCUUUGGGAUGCCGAAGAAGACAAAUGGCACCAACGAUGGAAACCACGUGUCCUCUGCGUACCCCACAUCUGGUGUUGUCAUAGUUAAGUGAUGGUGUCAACUUCAGUAAGCAAUGCCAAGCUCAAGUGGAUCAGCUCAGUGCUGGGUGUGGCUGAAGGGAUUUGCUAAAGACAGAAGUCCCACCCUGGGUAUAAGCAGCACUAACGGGAAAUGAAGAAGGAAGGAGGCAUCGCUUCUGUUUCUAAGGAGGAGCACCAGUUUUCACCUUCACCUCAAAUGUUGUUUCCUGGCUUUCAGAACAGACUCUUCAGCUUUCUAGCAUAGACCCUUUGGUCUCGGGAUACAGAUUCCCAGGGGCCUCUACAGUGAGCUUCUGGCCUUUAACCUUUGACCAGAUCUGCAGUGCACAGAAAGCUCUUUUGCACUCUUCCACCCCUGACUCUGCAGGUGGCCAUUGUAAGCCUAUCUUGUAAAUCCUGACAUAUUAUGUAUCUUUCAUUAAAUCCAUUUGGCCAGUGAGCACUGACUGAUACAGGUGUCAAGUAGAAAUUCACGGAUGCUUUCUGUGAGGGUAUUCAGUAAAUGCAAAGGAGAUUCUGGAACUGGCUUCAAAAGAGCAAAUAAACUGAC